UGCUAAUGAUGAAUAAUUUUAAUACCAUCUUUCGGCUGAAAUUAUUUUGAUGAUUAAUAUUUUCUGAAAGCA